AGAGUUUGAUCCUGGCUCAGGAUGAACGCUAGCGAUAGGCUUAACACAUGCAAGUCGAGGGGCAGCAUGGUCUUAGCUUGCUAAGACUGAUGGCGACCGGCGCACGGGUGCGUAACGCGUAUGCAACUUGCCUCACAGAGGGGGAUAACCCGUCGAAAGACGGACUAAUACCGCGUACACUCUAUGUUGGGCAUCCAAUGUAGAGGAAAAGAAAUUCGCUGUGAGAUAGGCAUGCGUCCCAUUAGCUAGUUGGUGAGGUAACGGCUCACCAAGGCGACGAUGGGUAGGGGAACUGAGAGGUUGAACCCCCACACUGGUACUGAGACACGGACCAGACUCCUACGGGAGGCAGCAGUGAGGAAUAUUGGUCAAUGGGCGAGAGCCUGAACCAGCCAAGUCGCGUGAAGGAUGACUGUCUUAUGGAUUGUAAACUUCUUUUAUACGGGAAUAACAAGAGUCACGUGUGGCUCCCUGCAUGUACCGUAUGAAUAAGCAUCGGCUAACUCCGUGCCAGUAGCCGCGGUAAUACGGAGGAUGCGAGCGUUAUCCGGAUUUAUUGGGUUUAAAGGGUGCGUAGGCGGCCUGUUAAGUCAGCGGUGAAAUCUAGGAGCUUAACUCCUAAAUUGCCAUUGAUACUGGCGGGCUUGAGUGUAGAUGAGGUAGGCGGAAUGCGUGGUGUAGCGGUGGAAUGCAUAGAUAUCACGCAGAACUCCGAUUGCGAAGGCAGCUUACUAAGGUACAACUGACGCUGAAGCACGAAAGCGUGGGUAUCAAACAGGAUUAGAUACCCUGGUAGUCCACGCAGUAAACGAUGAUAACUGGGCGUAUGCGAUAUACAGUAUGCUCCUAAGC
rnacentral:rRNA from 1 species